rnacentral:rRNA from 1 species
UAAUGCUCCAUAGUGGAUAUGUCCUGGAAUGGUAUAUCCUCGAAAGAUCCGUCGCCUUAGGAUGGGACUGCGUCCGAUUAGGUUGUUGGCGGGGUAACGGCCCACCAAGCCAUUGAUCGGUACGGGUUGUGGGAGCAAGAUCCCGGAGAUGGAUUCUGAGACAUGAAUCCAGGCCCUACGGGGCGCAGCAGGCGCGCAAACUUUACAAUGCGAGCAAUCGUGAUAAGGAAACCCUGAGUGCCUGUCGAUGCAGGCUGUUCAUAUAUCUAAAUCAUAUGUGAAGAAAGGGCAGGGCAAGACCGGUGCCAGCCGCCGCGGUAAUACCGGCUGCUCGAGUGAUGGCCACUAUUACUGGGUUUAAAGCGUCCGUAGCUUGACUGUUAGGUCUCUUGGGAAAUCUUCACGCUCAACGUGAAGGCGUCUAAGAGAUACCGGCAGUCUUGGAACUGGGAGAGGUAAACCGUACUUCGGGGGUAGGAGUGAAAUCUUGUAAUCCUCGAGGGACGACCUAUGGCGAAGGCAGUUUACCAGUACAGCUUCGACAGUGAGGGACGAAAGCUGGGGGAGCAAACGGGAUUAGAUACCCCGGUAGUCCCAGCCGUAAACAAUGUGCGUUAGGUGU